UCUCCGUUGGUGAACCAGCGGAGGGAUCAUUACAGAGUUCCACAACUCCCAACCCCUGCGAACCGUACCCCCGUUUGUUCUCGUUGCCUCCUGGCGGCGGGCCCCCGGCGCCACCGCAGGGGCCCCCCUCAGCGGCGCCGAGCCCACUGCACCCUUUUUUCUCAAUCAAUCCGUAUGAGCCAACAAACAUACGGAUCAAUACUUUUAAAAACGGAUCUGUUGGUUCCCGCAUCGAUGAAGAAAGCAGCCGAGCGGCAACGCACACGUCUGAACUCAAGC
rnacentral:misc_RNA from 1 species